rnacentral:snoRNA from 1 species
UCCCAGUGAUGAGAUAAUGGCAAGUAUGAGCCAAUCAGGCUGAGAGUGUGCACCUUCCUCCCGAUUGGUGGGUAAUCUUGGCAGUGUGGCGAAGAUUGGCUGCUCUGCUGUAAGGGCCCACCUAUAGUAAACUAGCAGCCCUUCUCACCCUCUGCCCAUCCCAGAGACAUGGGAGAAGGCAGGAUGAAAGCUGCUGAAAGUGUUUGAGUGUGAGAGUAUAUGUUUCAGUUGGCAAGGGGACACAACUCUUUGUUGAUGGCCUUUGCUAUGGCUAUGACAUCUUCCUUUGGUAAUCUGAGGGCA